GGUGGGUUGGCAGAGAGGUCGAUUGCACUGGUCUUGAAAACCAGCAACGGGUAACCGUUCCAGGGUUCGAAUCCCUGACCCACCG
rnacentral:tRNA from 1 species